CCUACGGGAGGCAGCAGUAGGGAAUAUUGCUCAAUGGGGGAAACCCUGAAGCAGCAACGCCGCGUGAAGGAUGAAGGUUUUCGGAUUGUAAACUCCUUUUAUUAGAGAAGAUAAUGACGGUAUCUAACGAAUAAGCCCCGGCUAACUCCGUGCCAGCAGCCGCCGUAAAACGUAUGGUGCAAGCGUUACUCGGACGCACUGGGCGUAAAGAGCGCGUAGGCGGGAUAGCAAGUCAGAUGUGAAAUCCUAAGGCUUAACCAUAGAACUGCAUUUGAAACUGUUAAUCUAGAGUAUGGGAGAGGUAGGUGGAAUUCAUGGUGUAGCGGUAAAAUGCGUAGAGAUCAAGAGGAAUACUCAUUGCGAAGGCGACCUGCUAGACCAUAACUGACGCUGAUGCGCGAAAGCGUGGGGAGCAAACAGGAUUAGAUACCCUAGUAGUC
rnacentral:rRNA from 1 species